GUAAUACGGAGGGUGCAAGCGUUAAUCGGAAUGACUGGGCGUAAAGCGCACGCAGGCGGUUUGUUAAGUUGGAUGUGAAAUCCCCGGGCUUAACCUGGGAACUGCAUUCAGAACUGGCAAGCUAGAGUCUCGUAGAAGGGGGGGGGAAUUCCAGGUGUAGCGGUGAAACGCGUAGAGAUCUGGAGGAAUACCGAUGGCGAAGGCGGCCCCUUAGACGAAGACUGACGCUCAGGUACGAAAGCGUGGGGAGCAAACAGGAUUAGAUACCCUGGUAGUCUACGCUGUAAACGAUGUCGAUUUGGAGGUUGUGCCCUUGAGGCGUGGCUUCCGGAGCUAACGCGUUAAAUCGACCGCCUAGGGAGUACGGUCGCAAGGUUAAAACUCAAAUGAAUUGACGGGGCCCGCACAAGCGGUGGAGCAUGUGGUUUAAUUCGAUGCAACGCGAAGAACCUUACCUACUCUUGACAUCCAGAGAACUUUGUAGAGAUACGAAAGUGCCUUCGGGAGCUCUGAGACAGGUGCUGCAUGGCUGUCGUCAGCUCGUGUUGUGAAAUGUUGGGUUAAGUCCCGCAACGAGCGCAACCCUUAUCCUUUGUUGCCAGCGAUUCGGUCGGGAACUCAAAGGAGACUGCCAGUGAUAAACUGGAGGAAGGUGGGGAUGACGUCAAGUCAUCAUGGCCCUUACGAGUAGGGCUACACACGUGCUACAAUGGCGUAUACAAAGAGAAGCGACCUCGCAAGAGCAAGCGGACCUCAUAAAGUACGUCGUAGUUCGGAUUGGAGUCUGCAAUUCGACUCCAUGAAGUCGGAAUCGCUAGUAAUCGUAGAUCAGAAUGCUACGGUGAAUACGUUCCCGGGCCUUGUACACACCGCCCGUCACACCAUGGGAGUGGGUUGCAAAAGAAGUAGGUAGCUUAACCUUCGGGAGGGCGCUUACCACUUUGUGACUCAUGACUGGGGUGAAGUCGUAACAAGGUAACCGUAGGGGAACCUGCGGUUGGAUCACCUCCUUAACU
rnacentral:rRNA from 1 species